rnacentral:lncRNA from 1 species
UGGCCUUGGACCACUGCCUGAAACUGCCCCUGGGCUCAGAUGUCUCUUUCCUUCUCUCAUUUCCAUCCUAAGAGGUCAGAGAGGCAAAGACUGCCACCUCGGAUAAAGAUGUUCCUCCCUGCGAAUGCAUAACACUCUCGAGAGCCUAGAAUACAGUAAGACACGAGGGCUUCCAAUGAGAGUCUCAGGGGCUAAGUAUGGUCCACAUUAACCACACAGUUCUCCUGAGGACUUCAGGGGAGUGAAGGUUAUCUGGUUAGCCCUCCAGGAAGACAUCAUACGACGAAGAUUUCUGAGAAUGAAUCCUAAAGCUUGCUCCAGAAGAAUUCACCUAACAUCCUGAAAGCAUCUUCUCUUCCACAGAACCAGUAGAUCCAAAGCUCAGAGCAACACGCUUGAGGACGAGGACCUGGAGUCAGAGCUGACAGGCGGCCUGACCGCACACUUCCAUCCCUUGAGAACCAUUCAGCUGGUUUCCAGCUUUGUUCGCUAUGCAAAUACCUUGAUUGACACUGAUCAAUGACUAGCACUUGGCCCAUAUCUAAGUGCUUGUAUACAAAUAAAGAUGAUUAAAUUGCUUCGAACAGAUUUUGAAUUACAUCUGAGCAGCUAUAUUUUAAAAUAGCGAGCACACUCUAUUUCACCACUGUUAUCAAUAAAAUAUUCA